AGUUUGAUCCUGGCUCAGGACGAACGCUGGCGGCGUGCUUAACACAUGCAAGUCGAACGAUGAAGACCAGCUUGCUGGUCUCUGCCGGAAAGAUUUAUCGGUUCUGGAUGGACUCGCGGCCUAUCAGCUAGAUGGUGAGGUAAUGGCUCACCAUGGCGACGACGGGUAGCCGGCCUGAGAGGGUGACCGGCCACACUGGGACUGAGACACGGCUCGGACUCCUACGGGAGGCAGCAGUGGGGAAUAUUGCACAAUGGGCGCAAGCCUGAUGCAGCAACGCCGCGUGAGGGAUGACGGCCUUCGGGUUGUAAACCUCUUUUAGUAGGGAAGAAGCGAAAGUGACGGUACCUGCAGAAAAAGCACCGGCUAACUACGUGCCAGCAGCCGCGGUAAUACGUAGGGUGCAAGCGUUGUCCGGAAUUAUUGGGCGUAAAGAGCUCGUAGGCGUCUUGUCGCGUCUGCUGUGAAAACCCGGGGCUCAACCCCGGCUCUGCAGUGGGUACGGGCAGGCUAGAGUGCGGUAGGGGAGAUUGGAAUUCCUGGUGUAGCGGUGGAAUGCGCAGAUAUCAGGAGGAACACCGAUGGCGAAGGCGACUCUCUGGGUCUGUAAUGACGCUCAGGUGCGAAAGCGUGGGGAGCAAACAGGAUUAGAUACCCUGGUAGUCCAUGCCGUAAACGUUGGGAACUAGAUGUAGGGCCUGUUCCACGGGUUCUGUGUCGUACGUAACGCAUUAAGUUCCCGCCUGGGGAGUACGGCCGCAAGGUUAAAACUCAAAGGAAUUGACGGGGGCCCGCACAAGCGGUGGAGCAUGCGGAUUAAUUCGAUGCAACGCGAAGAACCUUACCAAGGCUUGACAUAUACGAGAACGGGCGAGAGAUCGUCAACUCUUUGGACACUCGUAUACAGGUGGUGCAUGGUUGUCGUCAGCUCGUGUCGUGAGAUGUUGGGUUAAGUCCCGCAACGAGCGCAACCCUCGUCCUAUGUUGCCAGCACGUUAUGGUGGGAACUCAUGGGAUACUGCCGUGGUCAACACGGAGGAAGGUGGGGAUGACGUCAAAUCAUCAUGGCCCUUACGACCAGGGCUACACACGUACUACAAUGGCCGAUACAAAGGGCUGGCAUACCGCGAGGUGGAGCGAAUCCCAAAAAGUCGGUCUCAGUUCGGAUUGGGGUCUGCAACUCGACCCCAUGAAGUCGGAGUCGCUAGUAAUCGCAGAUCAGCAACGCUGCGGUGAAUACGUUCCCGGGCCUUGUACACACCGCCCGUCAAGUCAUGAAAGUCGGUAACACCCGAAGCCGGUGGCCUAACCCUUGUGGAGGGAGCCGUCGAAGGUGGGAC
rnacentral:rRNA from 1 species